rnacentral:rRNA from 1 species
GACGAACGCUGGCGGCGUGCUUAACACAUGCAAGUCGAACGAUGAUGCUGGAGCUUGCUCCAGUUGAUUAGUGGCGAACGGGUGAGUAACACGUGAGCAAUCUGCCCUUGACUCUGGGAUAACUGCGGGAAACUGUAGCUAAUACCGGAUACUUUCACCGGAAGGCAUCUUCUGGUGAUGAAAGAAUUUCGGUCAGGGAUGAGCUCGCGGCCUAUCAGCUUGUUGGUGAGGUAACGGCUCACCAAGGCGACGACGGGUAGCCGGCCUGAGAGGGUGACCGGCCACACUGGGACUGAGACACGGCCCAGACUCCUACGGGAGGCAGCAGUGGGGAAUAUUGCACAAUGGGCGCAAGCCUGAUGCAGCAACGCCGCGUGAGGGAUGACGGCCUUCGGGUUGUAAACCUCUUUUAGUAGGGAAGAAGCGAAAGUGACGGUACCUGCAGAAAAAGCACCGGCUAACUACGUGCCAGCCGCCGCAGUAA